GCAACCCAGGGAACUGAAACAUCUAAGUACCUGGAGGAGAAGAAAACAAAAGUGAUUUCCGUAGUAGUGGCGAGCGAACUGGAAGCAGCCCAAACCUACCAUGUUUCGGCAUGUUAGGGGUUAUAGGACCACGCUGUUUGGUGCUAAUUUAUAGUGGAAUGAUUUGGAAAUUUCAACCAUAGAAGGUGAUAGUCCUGUACACGAAAUAGAUUAGUAUUGAUAGUGGUAUCCUGAGUAGCGCGGGGCACGUGAAACCUUGCGUGAAUUUGCCAGGACCAUCUGGUAAGGCUAAAUACUCCUGAGAGACCGAUAGAGAACCAGUACCGUGAGGGAAAGGUGAAAAGUACCCUAAGAAAGGGGGUGAAAAAGAACCUGAAACCGUGCGCCUACAAGCGGUCGGAGCCCUUUAGGGGUGACGGCGUGCCUUUUGCAUAAUGAGCCUACGAGUUAUACCUUUCUAGCAAGGUUAAGAUGUUAAGCAUCGAAGCCGAAGCGAAAGCGAGUCUGACAAGGGCGAUUAAGUUAGAAGGGAUAGACGCGAAACCCUGUGAUCUACCCAUGACCAGGUUGAAGCUUCGUUAAUCCGAAGUGGAGGACCGAACCAGUAUACGUUGAAAAGUGUUUGGAUGAGUUGUGGGUAGGGGGUGAAAGGCCAAUCAAACUGGGAGAUAGCUCGUACUCUCCGAAAUGCAUUUAGGUGCAGCGUUAAAUUAGUGUCAUAGAGGUAGAGCUACUGAUAGGGCUAGGGGGCUUCACCGCCUACCGUCCCCUGAC
rnacentral:rRNA from 1 species